rnacentral:rRNA from 1 species
CCUACGGGAGGCAGCAGUGGGGAAUCUUGCGCAAUGGGCGAAAGCCUGACGCAGCAACGCCGCGUGCGGGAUGAAGGCCUUCGGGCUGUAAACCGCUUUCAGCAGGAACGAAAAUGACGGUACCUGCAGAAGAAGGAGCGGCCAACUACGUGCCAGCAGCCGCGGUGACACGUAGGCUCCAAGCGUUGUCCGGAUUUAUUGGGCGUAAAGAGCUCGUAGGCGGUCUAAAAAGUCGGGUGUGAAAACUCUGGGCUCAACCCGGAGACGCCAUCCGAUACUGUUAUGACUUGAGUUCAGGAGGGGAGCGGGGAAUUCCUAGUGUAGCGGUGAAAUGCGCAGAUAUUAGGAGGAACACCGGUGGCGAAGGCGCCGCUCUGGACUGAAACUGACGCUGAGGAGCGAAAGCAUGGGUAGCAAACAGGAUUAGAUACCCUGGUAGUCCAUGCCGUAAACGGUGGGCACUAGGUGUGGGUUUCAACUAACGAAAUCCGCGCCGUCGCUAACGCAUUAAGUGCCCCGCCUGGGGAGUACGGUCGCAAGACUAAAACUCAAAGAUAUGGCGNGNGAGAGCGACGACGACGACGACGGAGGAG